AAAAAGGCGAUGAAGAGACGGAGUACUAUACACCCAGUCAACAGAGAGAGGAUGUCGCGGCUGAAAGCAUCCUUUGACAUGGCUAUAGGAAAAACUAACUCAGAGCUGUAUCCCAGUAGUCUUAGGAUGAAAAGAUGUUCGUACCGGCAGCGUUAAUGCCGAAGAGUGGAUUUUAUCAAUUAGGGUGGAACCGCGGGAAUAACCUCUCGUCCCUUAG
rnacentral:ncRNA from 1 species